CAUAUUUAUAAACAAGUUCAUCCGCAAACAUCGGCUUACUGUAUAUUGUUGAGUAACAUUUCUUUGAAUAUUAUUCCUUGCUUGCCAGGCUACAAGCAAGAAAAUCGUGAAAGCCGAUGUUUAUGUUGCAGCAUGUGAUGUCCCUGGAAUUAAAAGAUAUCUUUGUUAUCUCAGGAAUUUCUUCAAGCAUCAUUGGCUCGACAGCAGCAGAUGUUGAAAGCUCAAUCAUUGCAAACUAGUUCUGAUAUGAGGCAUGCCAUGGCGGCUUCUGCUCUAGAUGGAAGUAAUAGGU